rnacentral:rRNA from 1 species
CGAAGAACCUUACCAAGGCUUGACAUGAACCGGAAACGUCUGGAAACAGGCGCCCCACUUGUGGUCGGUUUACAGGUGGUGCAUGGUUGUCGUCAGCUCGUGUCGUGAGAUGUUGGGUUAAGUCCCGCAACGAGCGCAACCCUCGUUCCAUGUUGCCAGCGCGUAAUGGCGGGGACUCAUGGGAGACUGCCGGGGUCAACUCGGAGGAAGGUGGGGACGACGUCAAAUCAUCAUGCCCCUUAUGUCUUGGGCUUCACGCAUGCUACAAUGGCCGGUACAAAGGGUUGCGAUACUGUGAGGUGGAGCUAAUCCCAAAAAGCCGGUCUCAGUUCGGAUUGGGGUCUGCAACUCGACCCCAUGAAGUCGGAGUUGCUAGUAAUCGCAGAUCAGCAUUGCUGCGGUGAAUACGUUCCCGGGUCUUGUACACACCGA